rfam:Gossypium arboreum cultivar AKA8401 contig_1162_9, whole genome shotgun sequence.
CGCGGGAUAGAGCAGUUUGGUAGCUCGUAAGGCUCAUAACCUUGAGGUCAUGGGUUUAAAUCUCGUUCCCGCAA